rnacentral:rRNA from 1 species
CAGUAGCCGCGGUAAUACGUAGGGUGCAAGCGUUAAUCGGAAUUACUGGGCGUAAAGCGUGCGCAGGCGGUUUGUUAAGACAGAUGUGAAAUCCCCGGGCUCAACCUGGGAACUGCAUUUGAGACUGUAUGGCUAGAGUGUGUCAGAGGGGGGUAGAAUUCCACGUGUAGCAGUGAAAUGCGUAGAGAUCGGAAGGAACAUCUGUGGCGAAGGCGACUAUCUGGGCCAACACUGACACUGAGGCACGAAAGCGUGGGGAGCAAACAGGAUUAGAUACCCCCGUAGUCCCUGUCUCUUAUAC